rnacentral:rRNA from 1 species
GAACCUGCGGAGGGAUCAUUACAGAGUUGUAAAACUCCCAAACCCAUGUGAACAUACCUGUUGCCUCGGCGGACCCGUCCCCUACCCUGGGGCGACCGCCGAAGGACCACUAAACUCUUUUAUACACUGUAUCUCUGAGCAAAAAACAAAUAAGUUAAAACUUUCAACAACGGAUCUCUUGGUUCUGGCAUCGAUGAAGAACGCAGCGAAAUGCGAUAAGUAAUGUGAAUUGCAGAAUUCAGUGAAUCAUCGAAUCUUUGAACGCACAUUGCGCCCAUUAGUAUUCUAGUGGGCAUGCCUGUUCGAGCGUCAUUAAUUCCACUUAAGCCUCUUGCUUAGCAUUGGGAGUCUACGCCUGUAGUUCCUCAAAGACAGCGGCGGAGUCGCGGUUUUGCUCUGAGCUUAGUAAUUCUUUCUAGCUCUCGAGCGGCCGCUGCCCCUGCCGUAAAACACCCCCAUUCUUAAUGGUUGACCUCGGAUCAGGUAGGAAUACCCGCUGAACUUAAGCAUAUCAAU